rnacentral:rRNA from 1 species
CAGCCGCCGCGGUAAGACGAACCGUGCAAACGUUACUCGGAAUCACUGGGCUUAAAGCGCACGUAGGCGGCGACAUAAGUUAGAGGUGAAAUCCCAUCGGCUCAACCGUGGAACUGCCUCUAAUACUGUGUUGCUUGAGGGAGAACGGGGCAUUCGGAACUUCCGGUGGAGCGGUGAAAUGUGUUGAUAUCGGAAGGAACGCCGGUGGCGAAAGCGGAAUGCUGGGUCUCUUCUGACGCUGAGGUGCGAAAGCUAGGGUAGCGAACGGGAUUAGAUACCCCCGUAGUCCCUGUCUCUUAUA